rnacentral:piRNA from 1 species
UAGGAACUGAAGCAGAAACACCC